rnacentral:rRNA from 1 species
AGGAAGUAAAAGUCGUAACAAGGUCUCCGUUGGUGAACCAGCGGAGGGAUCAUUACCGAGUUUACAACUCCCAAACCCCUGUGAACAUACCUUAUGUUGCCUCGGCGGAUCAGCCCGCGCCCCGUAAAAAGGGACGGCCCGCCGCAGGAACCCUAAACUCUGUUUUUAGUGGAACUUCUGAGUAUAAAAAACAAAUAAAUCAAAACUUUCAACAACGGAUCUCUUGGUUCUGGCAUCGAUGAAGAACGCAGCAAAAUGCGAUAAGUAAUGUGAAUUGCAGAAUUCAGUGAAUCAUCGAAUCUUUGAACGCACAUUGCGCCCGCCAGUAUUUUGGCGGGCAUGCCUGUUCGAGCGUCAUUUCAACCCUCAAGCCCAGCUUGGUGUUGGGAGCUGCAGUCCUGCUGCACUCCCCAAAUACAUUGGCGGUCACGUCGAGCUUCCAUAGCGUAGUAAUUUACACAUCGUUACUGGUAAUCGUCGCGGCCACGCCGUUAAACCCCAACUUCUGAAUGUUGACCUCGGAUCAGGUAGGAAUACCCGCUGAACUUAAGCAUAUCAAUAAGCGGAGGA